GACGAACGCUGGCGGCGUGCUUAACACAUGCAAGUCGAACGGAAAGGCCCUGCUUUUGUGGGGUGCUCGAGUGGCGAACGGGUGAGUAACACGUGAGUAACCUGCCCUUGACUUUGGGAUAACUUCAGGAAACUGGGGCUAAUACCGGAUAGGAGCUCCUGCUGCAUGGUGGGGGUUGGAAAGUUUCGGCGGUUGGGGAUGGACUCGCGGCUUAUCAGCUUGUUGGUGAGGUAGUGGUUUACCAAGGCUUUGACGGGUAGCCGGCCUGGGAGGGUGACCGGCGUCCUGGGGCCUGAGGUACGGCGCAGACUGCUACGGGAGGCAGCAGUGGAGAGUAUUGCGCAGUGGGCGGGAGCCUGAUGCAGCAGCGCCGCGAGCGUGAUGACGUCCUUCGGGUUGUAAACCGCUUUCGCCUGUGACGAAGCGUGAGUGACGGUAAUGGGUAAAGAAGCACCGGCUAACUACGUG
rnacentral:rRNA from 1 species